CAAUAGGUGAAAUAUGCCACAUGGUUGCCUUGUGGUCAAUCUUCCAUUUUCCUUCAUCAAGAUUAAAGGAAACCCCAAAACCAAAAUAAAACCCCAAACAAUAAUUUUCUCUCUCCUCUGAUUUUAUACCCCGUACUGUACAUGUUUCAUUUCUGCAUUAUGAAGUCGGAAUUUGCCCAAACGUAUUGCAUGAAAGUUGUAGAUCUCGAAAAGUUAUUGAAUUUAGACUUAAAAAUCGUUAAAUUCGGAGUCCGGAGCUAUGAGUUAUGACCUUUGCAAGUUUGAUGUUGCUGCUGCUAUUUUCUUUCAUGCUUUUGUUGUCGUCGCUGCAGCUUCGUGGUUGUUGUUGUUGUUGUUGUGUUGAUGUUAGGUACUACUCUUUCAAUCUUUCUCUCACUUUUGUUCAGAAAACCCAAUUGUUAGAUGAAUGUAUAAAUUUUGGGUUUAAAUUAUGACCUUUAUUUCAUCAAUUGUAAUAUGAUUUUUAUACUAUUAAUAAUUCUGAUUUUUACAAGUGUAAUUAAAAUUAUUAUUGAUUUGCAAAAUCAGAUUAAGGGAUUGAAAUUGGUAUUAUUUGGAUUGUUGAGAUUAAAGAUUAGAACUUUUGUUCAAUUACUUAGAUUGAAACUCAUUUUGAAUUACUUUAUAAUCUUCUAUUUUGUUAAGUAAAUUAUAAAAUCAACUUGUUGAUUUUGUUUUUAAGUAAUUUGGUAAAUUCUGAAUUUGGUCUUGUUUUAUAAAACCCUUAUGUCAAUCUAGAGUUGGAUUGGAGAAUUGAACUUGCUAUUAUAUUAUGAUUUUCAGAGAAAUGAGUUUUAUUAGAGUUAGCUUAUGAGGUUAAUUAAAGUGAGAAAUUGUUGUUGUAAGUUGGAUUAGUAGAAUGGAUAUUGAUGAUAGUUCAUUUUGAUUGAGAGUAUGGAGUGCAAGAUUAAUUGAUAUGUGUAUAAAAAUGACAAAUGAAUGGGGAUUAGGAAUAAGUAUAGGUUAUAAGAAUGAGUUAGUAGAUUAGUUUUUGUAUAUUAAAUUUAUGGAAUGUUUAUCUAAUAAUUCUUAUUGUUAUUGGUAAUGUGACUAUGGUUAUGAAUUUGUUGAGCUCAUGCUAUAUUGGGGAUUGAGGAUUAUUAUUGAAGAUUAAUCAGUGUUAUUCUAUGGAAGAUUGUUAGUAGGAAAAAUUGGUUUGUAGUUAAGGUAACAUUUAUGUUUAGCAAAAAUGUAUUUAUAUGUACGUAUGUGUUAUGUUGUAUUUUUUAUAUUAUACAUCGUUUGUAGUCAUGGCCAUGGUUAUAGAUGCGUCUCUAUUAGUUAGUUGUGAAUUGCUAUUGGAUUGUUAUAAAAGUAUCAUUUUGUUCAGUUAUUGGAAUUGUUCGGAAAUACUAUGUUUCUUAGAAUAUGAUUUGGGUAUGAUAAUGAGGAGAUGAUUUCGAAAUGGUUUUAGCUAACUUAGUUUAUGAACUGAGAUGAAUAGUGGGCAAGGUACUGAUUAAAAGAAAUGAUUCAGAUAUGAGUUAAGUCCAGAAAAGGUCGAAUAUUUUGUUGUGUUAUGUUAUGAGCCUGUACUUGCCAGUGAUUUUUGUUACGUGAUUAAGCUACGCCAGCGAUAUAUUUAAAAGAAUAAUUAUUUUUCGAACAAUUACCAAGUCAGUUUCUUAUAUGAAAAAUGUUUACGAACCAAAAUCAUUUUGACGGGCUGAAGUAAAGUUACUCAGCAUUCCGCUCAUUUUAGUUUUGUUUUUGUUUUGUAUUUUCUUCUGUAAUUUGCAGGAUUGUAUUGGGUGCUCAUAGUGGAUCGGAAAUAAAGAGUUGGUUAUCAAAUUGUAAAUAUAUUAGGGAUUCAAAGUUGUAUUUGGAAGUAUUCAAGUGCUUAGUGAAUAAUAUAAUAUUCUAUUAUUUUGAGAAUCAAGUAAAUUGUAAUUUGGUAUUUGCACUAGUGGAAAAAUGAAGAAGGGUUGCGCUGAAAAAGGCCUGUAGGGCUGCGCUUUUCGACAGCAGCCCUUUCAGUAGCAGCCCUUCACUUUUUAAGUAGGGCUGCGCUAGAAAAGCCCAGCCCUUAAGCUAGAAGGGCUGCGCUAGUUAGGAAAAAGCGCAGCCCUUCUAGCCCAGAAGGGCUGCGCUAGUUAGGAAAAAGCGCAGCCCUUCUGAGCUAGAAGGGCUGCGCUUUUUCCUAACUAGCGCAGCCCUUCCUACCAAAAAAAAAAAUAAAUUUUUUUUUUUUUUUUGGACAUGUUUUUACUCAUAAUCUCCUAUUUUCUGAAAUUAAACAGAAGAGAAGAGAAACGAAACGAAAAUACUAAACCCAAAACAAAAAAAAGAAUGAAACGAAAAUGAAAAAAAGGAACAAAAACUAAUAUACAAAGAGAAGUAUACAAGAAGUAUACAAGAACAUUAAUCAAAACAAAGAUGAAAAUACAAGAAAUUAUAUACAAAGAGAAGUAUACAAGAACAUUAAUCAAAAUAAACAAAGAGAAGUAUACAAGAACCUUAAUCGUCAAAACAAAGAGAAGUAUACAAGAACAUUAAUCAAAACAAAGAGAAGUAUACAAGAACAUUAAUCAAAAUAUAUAAACAAAGAGAAGUAUACAAGAACAUUAUAGAUCUGGAAAUACAAGAAAUACCUCCAAACAUUAACCUAAUAAUGUUUAAAUACAUAAAACAAAACCCUAAUACAUAAUUUAAGGGAAAAUUUUUUUUCGAAAAAUCUUAAAAUGCCUAUUUGGAGGCUUAAACGAACUCGGAUGGCUUAAAAAGCCUAAACGUUAUAGCCUAGCGGUGAGUUUGACUCGUUGGCUCGUUCCGCUUCCGAAAAGGUGUCACAAUAGGCAAUCGGACUCCAUCGGCAUGAUUCAUGCAAAUCAUUUCAGCGUUUUUGUCGCAACAUUUCUGGGAGUUUUUGAGAGGAUUAGAGAGAAGGAGGAGAGGGAGGAGGGAUGUGAGAGAAGGAGGAAAAGGAAUAAUGAGGGACGUGAGAGAGGAGAGAGAAGAAUGAGGGAUAUAUUUGACGACCCGCUUAGUAUUUGAAGCCCGCGAACUUGAAUUUUUCAAAUUUUUUAAAGAAGGGUUGCGCUUUUCUUCAAAAGCGCAGCCCUACUUAGUCAGAAGGGCUGCGCCUUUUAUAAAAGCGCAGCCCUAUUGAGUGAAGGGUUGCGCUUUUAUAAAAAAGCGCAGCCCUUCUGUUGUGUAGGGCUGCGCUUUUGUACAAAAGUGCAGCCCUUCACUAGUAGGGCUGCGAUUUUAGAAAAAGUGCAGCCCUUCCUCCGCAGCCCUUCCUUUUUUUUUCCCCUAGUGUUGGUUUUGAAGUUAUUAUGCUGUGGGUCAUGAGUUGACCCACAGGUUCAGGAUCGUAUUAUAGAUUAUGUUUCCGCUACGAGUAAAUAUUAAUUCGAGAUUUAUUAAGCGUUGAUUGUAAUUAGUGAAUCUUAAGUGUGUUUAGCUAGCAGCUCGAAAGUGCGGGCUGUUACAGAAUUUGGAGUCAUGUUAAGACAAAAGGGAAGAGCUGAAAAUUUCUGGUAUGCACCAAGUGGAAGGGAGCCACAUUAAUGAACUCAAAUUGGUUGACCAAGUUUGAAGUAAUGCACCCAUACCUUCCUCUUAUAUACCUUUCCAUCCUACAUAAUUUUCAUCACCAAAACCAACCAAAAUUGAUCUGCCCAAAAACACUUCCUCCUUCCUCUCUUCACUCGCCAGUUCUGGCGGAGCAUAUUGGGAAGAAAAGGAAUCACCAUUUCGAGGCCAAGAAGUUCAAGAAAAAGAGCUAUCUUCUUCAACUAGAAAAAUAGUGUUUAAGGAUUCCAAAGAAGUUAAAAUCUCAUCCUAAGGAGAAGGAGAAGUCGGAUCGUACCAAUUACAAAUUGAGAUAUGCAAAUUCAAUCCCUUUUUGGAAGAUAAGUAUUGUGAAAACUAUUCGAAGUAUUUUUGAGAGGAAAAUUGAGGAUGAAUUCUUGGUUUGUAUGACUAUUAGCUACUGUAUUUUGAUUGUAAUUAAGUAUAAACCCUUGCAUGUUGGAAAAGCAAAUGAAAUGGGGUUUCUUUCUUAUACUAGAAAAUGGUUAAAUGUGGCUGUAUUCGGUUUUUCGUAAAGGAUUGAUUUGUAUACCAGCGUAAGCUGAAUUUUGUUCUAUGUA